AUUGAACGCUGGCGGCAUGCUUUACACAUGCAAGUCGAACGGCAGCGCGGGCUUCGGCCUGGCUGCGAGUGGCGAACGGGUGAGUAAUGCAUCGGAACGUGCCCAGUAGUUGGUUAUAGCCCGGCGAAAGCCGGAUUAAUACCGCAUACGACCUGAGGGUGAAAGCGGGGGACCGAAAGGCCUUGCGCUAUUGGAGCGUCCGAUGUCGGAUUAGCUAGUUGGUGGGGUAAAGGCGUACCAAGGCGACGAUCCGUAGCUGGUCUGAGAGGACGACCAGCCACACUGGGACUGAGACACGGCCCAGACUCCUACGGGAGGCAGCAGUGGGGAAUAUUGGACAAUGGGGGCAACCCUGAUCCAGCCAUGCCGCGUGCGGGAAGAAGGCCUUCGGGUUGUAAACCGCUUUUGUUCGGGAAGAAAUCCUCUGGGCUAAUACCCCGGGGGGAUGACGGUACCGGAAGAAUAAGCACCGGCUAACUACGUG
rnacentral:rRNA from 1 species